GAAGACGACCAUAAUAAGCAGGAAACACCCGUUCCCGUUUCGAACACGGAAGUUAAGCUGCCUAUGUUUUAAGUUGUACUUGCCCUUGGGUUGGGAAGCUUGAAAGUUGUCUUCU
rnacentral:rRNA from 4 species